rfam:Picea glauca, whole genome shotgun sequence.
UCUUAUGUACAUGCCUACAACAUAGUGUUAAUGCAUCAGAUCCCAUUAGAACUCCAUAGUUAAGCGCCCUCAGGCUAGAGUAGUACUGGGGUGGAUAACCGUGUUGAUGAAUGCAGCUAUGUGAGAC